rnacentral:rRNA from 1 species
GGUUAAGCGACUAAGCGUACACGGUGGAUGCCCUGGCAGUCAGAGGCGAUGAAGGACGUGCUAAUCUGCGAUAAGCGUCGGUAAGGUGAUAUGAACCGUUAUAACCGGCGAUUUCCGAAUGGGGAAACCCAGUGUGUUUCGACACACUAUCAUUAACUGAAUCCAUAGGUUAAUGAGGCGAACCGGGGGAACUGAAACAUCUAAGUACCCCGAGGAAAAGAAAUCAACCGAGAUUCCCCCAGUAGCGGCGAGCGAACGGGGAGCAGCCCAGAGCCUGAAUCAGUGUGUGUGUUAGUGGAAGCGUCUGGAAAGGCGCGCGAUACAGGGUGACAGCCCCGUACACAAAAAUGCACAUGCUGUGAGCUCGAUGAGUAGGGCGGGACACGUGGUAUCCUGUCUGAAUAUGGGGGGACCAUCCUCCAAGGCUAAAUACUCCUGACUGACCGAUAGUGAACCAGUACCGUGAGGGAAAGGCGAAAAGAACCCCGGCGAGGGGAGUGAAAAAGAACCUGAAACCGUG